rnacentral:tRNA from 1 species
UUCAGCGGAGCUCGUAGAGUAUGACUUUGAAGAAGUUGGGGGUGUACUGAAG